UGAGAGCAGAACACCAUGGUGGCACUCCAGGCUUUACCCUGACAGCGGAGUAGAUUUAUCUUCAACUGGUUCUGCUGGUUCUCCAGCCUUGAAACAAAAACAGGAGUUGUUGGCUCGAAAGGAGGCACAAGGGAACAGGAGAGACGACAAGGAUGCCUCCUUAUUCCAAGUAUUCCCAGGGGAACCACCUUCAGGGGGGUAUUUACCAGGCCUUCUCAGAAAUGGAGGACUUGCUUUAAAAACGAAAGAAUUGUCAAGUUAUCAACCAGAUAGAAGACGGGAAUACAUCAACAGUAUUAGAAAUCAUCGAACAAAACUAUUCAGAAGUGCAUGGGAUUAAAUUUGAAUUAACUUAAACCUGUAAAUUAGGCCUCUACAUUUGAUGGGUUGACAAGAAAAAUGUCUUUAACAUGGAAAAUAUUACAUAUUUUUUUUGUAAUCAAUAUUUUUCUAUAAAUUACUUUUAAUAGUUUAAAAACCUUUAAAACUAAACUUUAAGUAUAAAUUUAUGUUCGAAUAUGAAUUUUAACGAUUUAUUUCAAAUUUUGUUCUCCUGAUAGGCCUGGCCGUGAAAAAAAACAUCUCAAUUUUACUCUCUUUUAUUUCCACACCACUUGUUGAAGCAUUUAAGAUUUUUUAACACCGUGAGAUACCCAAACAUUAUAUUUGAUGGAUUCCACCGAUGGUUUGUGAACUAAAACCCUAUUUAUAAUGAUUUAAUAAAAUCAAGUGAUGACAGUCAAUGUAUUUAAACUUCAUAUUUAUCUAUUUAUUUACUGUAUUUAUUUAUGUGAACGUUUUGUUUAAAGUUUAAACAAU